UGCACCCCCUCCCCCACUCGGACGCAAUAACCCAGCUCAUUGGGUCAAAUCAACUCCGCGCAGGAUCAGCGCAGCGCGGGCUGACUGAAUUCGAGGUGGAGGUGGAUGCCACACACACGCUGUAAUAUUUGGAGAAAUAAGACCUGCUCUUGACUGUCCGUGGUGGCAAAUCCACAGCCUUUAGCUGGAGUAGAAUCAACCGUAUCUGAAGAGAGAGCUGAGGAAAUUAAACAAUGGCUGAGAAACAACACACAGCCCAUCAGCCAGGUGGAACAGUACAUCUGAAAAAUAUGUUUGAGGACCUCCAUGAGUUUCCUCGGCUAACUACCUCAGGCAUGAUUGCACAGGACUUUCACAUUUUACAUUAAGAUGAAGCCCCAAAACUGUUUGAAAAAUGGCUGGUAUACUGACAGGAUCUUGCUUUUUGUGAGCGAGAAGCAAAGCUUUCAUGUACAGCUGAAGAAAUGACAGAAGAUGCAAAGGGAAAUCUUGCACUAAAGCUGUUACCUGUUCUGCUUCUACCUCCACCCUACAAAAUUGACAGAAAAACAGUCCGACCCAGCAUUGAUGAAAGCAAAAAAGCUUUCAUUGACAUUCAGCCUGUUGGAACAAAUAUGGUGGAGUACCUCCAGCAGGCUGAAGCAUCAAGACCUUACCCUUAUGUCCUGUAACUUGAAAAUGGACACAUUGCGUUGCGGGCAUUUGUCAUCCUCGCAGGAGAAGCUUUGGAACAAAUAACUAUUGUUUAAGGGGAAGUCAUGGCCUAAUGGUUAGAGAGUUGGACUCACAAUUUAAGGGUUGUGUGUUCGAGUCUCGGGCCGACAGGAAUUGUAGGUGAGAGGAGUGAAUGUAUAGUGCUCUCUUCCACCCUCAAUACCACGACUUAGGUGCCCUUGAGCAAGGCAUCGAACCCCCAACUGCUCUCCGGGCGCCGCAGCAUAAAUGGCUGCCCACUGCUCAGGGUGUGUGUUCACAGUGUGUGUGUGUGUUCACUGCUCUGUGUGUGUGCACUUCGGAUGGGUUAAAUGCAGAGCAUGAAUUCUGAGUAUGGGUCACCGUACUUGGCUGAAUGUCACUUCACUUUCACUUCACUUCAUUGGGACAGUAAAUGUAUGUUUCAAAUCGUUUUAUGUUUUUGAUGUAAACUAACCGAAACAUUGUUUCUAUAUUAGGGAGUUUAUUCAUAAUAUUUUUGAGUUGGAGGGAAGUGAAUCCCCAACAGUGAAAUUUUUGCACUGGGCACUACAUUCUUGCAAGUAGAUUAUAAGAGGUUCUUUGAACAAACAGUGGUUCAAGAACACGAGGUAGCAUUUUAGUUUAAGUUUUAUUUGCACAUGAGAUUUUUGUUCUGGUUUUUUUGUAUAAACAACUGUUUUAUUGCUUGAGGAAGAGUAUUACUUCAUGCGUACUGAUGAUUAUCAAUUGCAUUUUUAUGUAGAAAUCUUUUACUGCCAAUACCUUGUAU